GAAGCCCUUGUUGUGAAGGGAGAGAGAACAAGCAGAUAAGGUGUCCUCGGCUGGGAGAGUUACUUGCUUCAAGUUACAGCACUAGAUUUCAUGCCUCUCUCCUGGAAAAAUGUAUGUAACUUGAAAUGUUGAAUGGAUACCAUGGAUCUUGGGAAGGACAUUCAAACAUUGAAAACACACAACACUGGCACCAAGUACUCUAUAAUAGUUGGAACUCAGGCUCAAGUUGGUGAUGCUAUCCAUGACGGGAUGUUAAAGAAGAAGAUGAAACAUAGAAAAGAAAACAAGAGAAGUCUCUUUUCUGGCCUCCUUUCUUAAUUAUGGAAUACAUGGAUCAUUCAGGC
rnacentral:lncRNA from 1 species